rnacentral:rRNA from 1 species
AUACGGAGGGAGCGAGCGUUAAUCGGAAUUACUGGGCGUAAAGCGCGCGUAGGCGGCUUUGUAAGUCGGAUGUGAAAGCCCUGGGCUCAACCUGGGAAUGGCAUUCGAUACUGCAGAGCUAGAGUAUGGUAGAGGGAAGUGGAAUUUCCGGUGUAGCGGUGAAAUGCGUAGAUAUCGGAAGGAACACCAGUGGCGAAGGCGACUUCCUGGGACAAUAAUGACGCUGAGGUGCGAAAGCGUGGGGAGCAAACAGGAUUAGAAACCCCAGUAGUCC